UUCCUCCCCUGCCAUUCUUCUUCUUUGUUCCUCGGCCUCUCCAAGCAGAGUCCAGGAGAUAAGAGAAUCUGCCUGGCUGGCACUCUUGCUGCAGCUUCUCUGGUUACUCUCGGGGGAUUCCUGAUUUUGUUGAGAAGGGUUUCUCUUUAUCAAAUCACAGGCCUCCUCCGAAAUGGCCCAAGAGACCAUCACAGCCUGCCGGGUGCUGAAAUAUGUUAUCAUUAGGCUCAACAUGCUAUUUAGUUAAUUAAAUGUCAUGCUUUUGAUGGCAUUAAUUAGACCCGCUGCCGAUUCCUCAGAAAACAAAACCAAACAAACAUAAAAAAAUCACUCCUAACCCAGGGAGACUCAAUGGAGCCAAAGUGAGAUCUUCCUAAAUCCCUCUCUCCUCCCAGGACAAAAUUAGUCCACAUGGAUCUUUGAACAGCUCAAUGAGCUUCAUGAUGUCAUUUUUCCUUUGAGGGAUGAUGUUAUUAAUGUUCCUGGUAUUUUAGAGCAGUUAAUGUUUUUAUUAAUAAUGACAUAAUUGUCCUUUAUAGGAAUGUAAUAUUUU
rnacentral:lncRNA from 1 species